ACUCCUACGGGAGGCAGCAGUAGGGAAUCUUCCGCAAUGGACGAAAGUCUGACGGAGCAACGCCGCGUGAGUGAAGAAGGGUUUCGGCUCGUAAAACUCUGUUGUCAGGGAAGAACGUCCCCGUGAGUAACUGCACGGGGAGUGACGGUACCUGACCAGAAAGCCACGGCUAGCUACGUGCCAGCAGCCGCGGUAAUACGUUGGUGGCAAGCGUUAUCCGGAAUUAUUGGGCGUAAAGCGCGCGUAGGCGGUCUGUUAAGUCUGAUGUGAAAGCCCCCGGCUCAACCGGGGAGGGUCAUUGGAAACUGGCAGACUUGAGUGCAGAAGAGGAGAGUGGAAUUCCAUGUGUAGCGGUGAAAUGCGCAGAGAUAUGGAGGAACACCAGUGGCGAAGGCGGCUCUCUGGUCUGUAACUGACGCUGAGGUGCGAAAGCGUGGGGAUCAAACAGGAUUAGAUACCCUGGUAGUCCACGCCGUAAACGAUGAGUGCUAAGUGUUAGGGGGUUUCCGCCCCUUAGUGCUGCAGCUAACGCAUUAAGCACUCCGCCUGGGGAGUACGGCCGCAAGGUUGAAACUGAAAGGAAUUGACGG
rnacentral:rRNA from 1 species